rnacentral:rRNA from 1 species
UACGUAGGGGGCAAGCGUUGUCCGGAUUUAUUGGGCGUAAAGCGCGUGUAGGCGGCUAGGUAGGUCCGCUGUGAAAACUCGAGGCUCAACCUCGAGAGGUCGGUGGAAACCAUUCUGGCUAGAGUCCGGAAGAGGAGAAUGGAAUUCCUGGUGUAGCGGUGAAAUGCGCAGAUAUCAGGAAGAACACCCGUGGCGAAGGCGGCUCUCUGGGACGGUACUGACGCUGAGACGCGAAAGCGUGGGGAGCGAACAGG